rfam:Schistosoma haematobium scaffold1165_40, whole genome shotgun sequence.
AUCCAGUUGAUAAGUCCCAUAUAGGACGAAACGUGUGUCCUGGAU